AUGGACCUUCAGGCUCAAAUUGUCAGCUUCCUGCUGUUCAGUGUCACAGUGAGCAUAGUGUCCAGUGGAGAAAUUGUGCUCAUGCAGUCUCCAGGGUCCCUGGCUGCUUCCCAAGGGGAGAGGGUCACCAUGACCUGCACAGACAGCUCCAGUAUAAGCACCAGCUACUUGCACUUCUACCAACAAAAGCUGGGGUCCUCUCCAUGGCUACUGAUCUAUAGAACAUCCAGCGUGGCCUCUGGAGUCCCAGAGCGCUUCAGUGGCAGUGGGUCUGGGACCUCCUACACGCUCUCCAUCAGCAGUGUGGAGGCUGAAGAUGUUGCAAUGUACUACUGUCAGUACUGGGCUAGCUCUCCACCCACAUGGUGA